AUUAUGCGGCAACUAAUAACAUCUCUCAAAAAAAUUCAUGAUACGGGAGUUGUCCACCGAGACAUAAAACCAUCAAACUUGGUGGUGACAAUGAAGGGACAAAUCAAGCUCAUAGAUUUCGGUGCAGCGACAGACCUUCGUAUCGGGAAGAAUUAUGUGCCUGACCGCGCAUUACUUGAUCCAGCCUACUGUCCUCCUGAAUUGUAUGUGCUUCCUGAGGAAACACCAAGCCCUCCUGCCGAACCUAUUGCAGCUAUUCUUUCGCCAAUUGUCUGGGUGAUAAAUAGUCCUGAUUUAUUUGAUAUGUACUCAGCUGGAG
rnacentral:misc_RNA from 1 species